rnacentral:rRNA from 1 species
GAUGAACGCUGGCGGCGUGCCUAAUACAUGCAAGUCGAGCGAACGGACGAGAAGCUUGCUUCUCUGAUGUUAGCGGCGGACGGGUGAGUAACACGUGGAUAACCUACCUAUAAGACUGGGAUAACUUCGGGAAACCGGAGCUAAUACCGGAUAAUAUUUUGAACCGCAUGGUUCAAAAGUGAAAGACGGUCUUGCUGUCACUUAUAGAUGGAUCCGCGCUGCAUUAGCUAGUUGGUAAGGUAACGGCUUACCAAGGCAACGAUGCAUAGCCGACCUGAGAGGGGGAUCGGCCAAACUGGAAGUGAGACGCGGUCCUGACUCCUACGGGAGGCAGCAGUAGGGAAUCUUCCGCAAUAGGCGAAAGCCUGACGGAGCAACGCCGAGUGAGUGAUGAAGGUUUUCGGAUCGUAAAACUCUGUUAUUAGGGAAGAACAUAUGUGUAAGUAACUGUGCACAUCUUGACGGUACCUAAUCAGAAAGCCACGGCUAACUACGUG